rnacentral:rRNA from 1 species
AAUAUUGCACAAUGGGCGCAAGCCUGAUGCAGCAACGCCGCGUGAGGGAUGACGGCCUUCGGUUUGUAAACCUUUUUUUGCAGGGAAGAAGCGAAAGUGACGGUACCUGCAGAAAAAGCUCCGCCGAACUACGUGCCAGCAGCCGCCGUAAUACGUCGGGUGCAAGCGUUGUCCGUAAUUAUUGGGCGUAAAGAGCUCGUAGGCGGCUUGUCGCGUCUGCUGUGAAAUCCCGGAGCUCAACUCCGGGCCUGCAGUGGGUACGGGCAGGCUAGAGUGCGGUAGGGGAGAUUGGAAUUCCUGGUGUAGCGGUGGAAUGCGCAGAUAUCAGGAGGAACACCGAUGGCGAAGGCAGAUCUCUGGGCCGCUACUGACGCUGAGGAGCGAAAGCAUGGGGAGCGAACA